UGCGCGGGCGCGGGGCCGCCGCUGCAGAUGGGCGCAGGCCGCGGCCCCGCCGGCGGAGAAGGCGUGGGGGGGGCGUGGGUGCGGCUGUGACACGCGUGUUGGGGACGGCGGGGGGGUGAGACCCGCGCCCCCGGGGGUCGCCGUCUCCUCACUUGUUGAAGGAUGCGAGCGUUGGCCCCGUCCGGGCGCCCGAAGUGGCUGGGUAGGGACGGGGGUCGCCGCCGUGUGGCACCAUCCCGACCCGCCCCCUUCGCCGCGGCCGGCGGGGUAAAAACGGGGCUCGUCCCCUUCCCUUUGCUCUGUCAGGUGGGGGAGUCUCCCUGCGCCCACACCUGCGAAAGCCAGGACGGAAAGAGUUAAAACAGCCUGCAAGCUCCCACGGAACGGCACCGGCAGCCCCUUGAUCAAAUCAACCCGAAUUUGCACCAUAAAGACUCCGGGACCCGGUUGUGACAGCUGUAAACAUAAUGACAGUUCCCUGACACGGCGUUUUUCUGCGUUGACUUUGUGCCAGCGCGUAAUGCAGAAUGUGUGUCUUGAUGAUCAUGAAAACCCCUUGAUUAAAAUCCCGUUGAUGAGAGCUGCAGCUACUGGCUUUUCCUUGAUUGCACUUGGGCCGUGGUCCCAUCAUCGGUAAUGGAUGGCACGCGUGGCAGGAUCGCUGUACCAGUGUGAUCCAAAUGAGGAGGCAAAGCUUCCAGAAGAUGCCUUUGGGGCAUGCAAGCAGAGCAACUGCGGUGCCCGAGGCAGGUUCAGAGGAAACGGAGAGGGACAAGACUCUGUGGCUGCUCAGCCCAGCAUCCACCCACGCGAGGAGCAGGUGCUGAAAGCUGUCCCAAGAGCUGCUGGAGAACACACGCUGGAGAACACACAGCCUGGAAACAGGUUUCAAGGCAAUAAAGUGGUUUAGAAGCCAUACAGCUACUUUUAAAAAAUUACUUUGGCACUUACUCUCCUAACCUCUGCCAUUUCUUAAAAGAAACUUGGGCUUUAAAGUGCUAUGGAAUGAAAUAAAAUGUCACAUGAUUGUGUGUUAUCCAUGUCCUAAAUCUUACCCUUUACCUCUGAUGUCCAGCUUUUACUCCUAGUCUUUCCAUUAUGAAUGAAAAAAAUACAAACAUUGAGCCUUAACAUCGUAGUUCUGAUCCUCCAGCCAAUUUUUUGCCAGCGCUGGAGUUCUGCAGAAUUGCAGGUCAGAGGAAUAUAGUAGUGGAUUGCCCUACUCUUCAGUCAACAAUAAGCCAUUUUCUAUAUGUUUGUGUUUUUUUUUUAUAUAGUGCCAUCACUAUGAAUGUGAGCAAAAAUUCUUUAGGACUGAAUGUGAGAUUUUUCAGGGUCCUGCAGGAGUCAUAAAAUCCCAGCUGCUGGUUUGGAUUUGCUCCAGAACUGUAUUUCAAAAUGAGGGAUAAGUCCUAUUUUUUCUAA